GACGAACGCUGGCGGCGUGCUUAACACAUGCAAGUCGAACGGAAAGGCCCUGCAUUUGUGGGGUGCUCGAGUGGCGAACGGGUGAGUAACACGUGAGUAACCUGCCCUUGACUUUGGGAUAACUUCAGGAAACUGGGGCUAAUACCGGAUAGGAGCUCCUGCUGCAUGGUGGGGGUUGGAAAGUUUCGGCGGUUGGGGAUGGACUCGCGGCUUAUCAGCUUGUUGGUGGGGUAGUGGCUUACCAGGGCUUUGACGGGUAGCCGGCCUGAGAGGGUGACCGGCCACAUUGGGACUGAGGUGCGGGCCAGACUCCUACGGGGGGCAGCGGUGGGGAAUAUUGCACACUGGGCGGAAGCCUGAUGCAGCAAUGCCGCGUGCGGGAUGACGGCCUUCGGGUUGUAAACCGCUUUCGCCUGUGACGAAGCGUGAGUGACGGUAAUGGGUAAAGAAGCACCGGCUAACUACGUG
rnacentral:rRNA from 1 species